GAUGCAGAGGGGAUGGCUGGCGGGUUCGCUGUGGUCCUCCCCCUUCCUCCUUCCUCUUCCUCUGCUGGCCGCGCCUUUGUUUGCUCUGCCCGCGCGCUAUCUUUAGGCAGCAGGUGCGGGAGCCACUGUGAGUCGGGUCGCCCUCCGGUCACCGCCCCCCACGUGACGCUGGGCGCUAUAAAUAGACGGGCCGCCGGCGCCCUGCAUCCGCCCGGAGCCGGCGCCGCUGCGGAGGGCGGCGCGCGCGCGCGGGUCCCGGCCCGGCCGGCCGGCGCUUGGAGGCAGCCGCACGCCUGCGGGCGCGGACUGUGCCUUCUGAAGACCAGUGUGCGAUUGAUGGAGGAGCCCCAGGAGGGCAGCUCUGACUACUGCCGUUCCCAACAUCGUGGGUGCUGCCGCUGACCUGAGGAGGCCCGUGCCCCUCUGGCCCUCACCAUUGCCCUUGUCUCCCAAUGGCCUCUGCUGCCCGGCCAGAGGCCAGCACUGCUGCCUGAGCCCGCUGCCCCUCUCCAGGACUUGCCGUUCCCUGAUGGGGUAACGUGACAGACGCCCAGAUCAGAGGCUGCCUGCCCACCACGGCCCAGGGCCGCCAGAGUUGCUUUGAGUCCAAGUUCAUUUCCCCUUUGGUCCUGAGUGCUGGGGCCCAGCUCUGAGCAAAAAGGGGACUCUCCUCUCUUCAUCCAUGCAGACAGGGUGUCCACAGCGACGGCCCCAUAGAGGACACUGCUCCGUGGCCAGAGUCACCAACUUGAAGUUCUCUUUGCUCAGUUUUUUUUUUUUUUGGUUGUUGUUAUUUUUAUUUUUUGCCUCCCUGUAACUAGUCCACUCUGAGGGACAGGACUUUGGAGCUACCCAUCUUGCUAGAAGAGGAGGUGUUUGUUUCUUUUCCUUUUCUUUUUUAGAAUUGGGUGUUUUUGGAGUUGUCCACCACCACCACCA